AUUCCAGCUCCAAUAGCGUAUAUUAAGGUUGUUGCAGUUAAAGAGCUCGUAGUUGGAUUUGUGGUGUACUUCGGCGGCCCGUCACUAUGUGAUGGAGCUUGCUGAAGUCGCCAUCCUUGGGUGGAUCCUGUGUGGCAUUAAGUUGUCGUGCAGGGGAUGCCCAUCGUUUACUGUGAAAAAAUUAGAGUGUUCAAAGCAGGCUUAUGCCGUUGAAUAUAUUAGCAUGGAAUAAUAAGAUAGGACCUUGGUACUAUUUUGUUGGUUUGCGCACCAAGGUAAUGAUUAAUAGGGACAGUUGGGGGUAUUCGUAUUUCAUUGUCAGAGGUGAAAUUCUUGGAUUUUUGAAAGACGAACUACUGCGAAAGCAUUUACCAAGGAUGUUUUCAUCA
rnacentral:rRNA from 1 species